UCGUCUAGCCGACGGUCUAGCUA
rnacentral:siRNA from 1 species